rnacentral:lncRNA from 1 species
GAGGAAAGUGGGAGGGAGGAGGCGAGUCCAGAUUCUCUUCCCUCCCUCCCUCUUCUCAGCACUUUGCAAACAGUAUCUUUGCAAUGUCUGUUGGAGGAGGGAAAACACCUCCUCCAGGUGCCCAAGGCUGGAUGUGUGUUUGGGCAGGGAUUGCCCCACGGUGUAGCCAGCGCCAGGCACAUGAACCUAAUUGUGCCCUACUUUCUUCCUCAUGCUGUCCCCAGGAGGACAUCACCCAGCGCCACCCUCAGGAGUCCCCACCCAACCAGGGCCACCUGCCUGCCACCCGAAGUGUCAAUGGCUAUCAUCCUGCAAGGACAACUGUGCAGAGCCACCAUUCCUUCGUCUCAUCCCUCCUCGCAUCGUGGCAGAGGUGCUGAUCAUGAUGGACAUCAGCGGGUCACAAGGUGAAAGGACCCUCCAUGGAUCCCAGGCAUCAGCCUUGCAGGGUUGCAGUGGCAAGAGGAACAGGUUUUCCCACCCAAAGUACUGAUCAAGAGCUGCGAUGGGAUUUUCCAGGCUGCAGCAUGAAGCAUCUCUCUGCAUUAGACAUAUUUGUCGAUAUUUAAUCCACCAAUAAAAGCUGUGCAUGACCAAAUUGAAUAUUUAAUUUAAUAUAUGCUAACCAGGAGCUAC